UAUUAUGUACUCGUAAAUUAUAGUACAUCGUAUUAAUAUUAGUGUUGAGACUAUAUCUAUUAUUUUAUUAUAAUCUAUUUGCCAAAAUAUUAUAUAGACGUUUAUUUCCCUCAAUAAUUCGAUUGCUCAUAUUAUAAUAUAUUUUAAUGAUAUUGUAAUGUUUGUUGACGACAUUUCAUUCGACUUUUCUUAGGUGCUAAAAUAUUAUUAUCAUCAUCCAAUCAUCAAUUA